AUGGUUUGUUUGUUAAGCUGCAUCGUCGCUGUGUCCCAGAACAUGGGGCAUUGGUAAGAUCAGGGACCUGCCCUGGCCACUGCUCGGGAAUGAAUUCAGGUAUUUCCAGAGGAUGGCCACAACCUCUUCAGUAAAAGGUCAACAGAAUCUGGUGAUUAUGGGGAGGAAGAAGACCUGCUUCUCCAUUCCCGAGAAGAAUCGACCUUUAAAAUCUAGAAUUAAUUUAGUUCUCAGGAGAGAACUCAAGGAACCUCCACAAGGGGCUCAUUUUCUUGCCAGAAGUCUGGCUGAUGCCUUAAAAUUUACUAAACAACCAGAAUCAGCAAAUGAAGUAGAUGUGAUUUGGAUAGUUGGUGACAGUUCUGUUUGUCAGGAAGCCAUGAAUCACCCAGGCCAUCUUAAAGUAUAUGGGACAAGGAUUAUGCAGGACUUUGAAAGUCCUGUUUGUAUUUGGAGAAAUACAAACUCUGCCAGAAUACCCGGGUGUUCUCUCUGAUGUCCAGGAGGAGAAAGGCAUGAAGUACAAAUUUGAAGUAUAUGAGAAUGAUUAAUAUGAAGGUGUUUCUGGUGUAUUUUAAGUUUUUCCCCCUGUCCCAGAAAAAAAGUGUGUAUUUUCCAUUAGAAAAAAAAAGACUUUUGUUGGCUUUAGAUCUAUGCAUAUUUCUAAGCAAUGUAUUUUUAUUCCCCAUGAACCUUGACUCUAUCAGAUAGCAUUUAUGAAACAUUCUUGCUAAAACCAAGUGCCUUCCAAGACCCCGACUGAGUCCCCAGCAUCUGCUCCAGUGAGCUGCCAUUCCAUACCCAUCACAUGUGGCACUCAUGGCAGGCCUUGACAUUGUUGGGCUUUUCAAAUGUUGGUAGUAUUAAUUAAAGAAGAAGAUGCACAUGCCUUUCAACUGAGCAGUUUUGCUCUUGGGAAAUACUGAAAGCUUCCUUCGUGGGUAUCCAGAGGUUUGUGGAGACAUGUUGCAGCCUUGAUUGUAAGCAGCAAAAACUGAAAACAACCUGGAAGUCCA